rnacentral:rRNA from 1 species
AACGAACGCUGGCGGCAUGCCUAACACAUGCAAGUCGAACGAUGCCUUCGGGCAUAGUGGCGCACGGGUGCGUAACGCGUGGGAAUCUGCCCUUGGGUUCGGAAUAACUCAGAGAAAUUUGAGCUAAUACCGGAUGAUGACGUAAGUCCAAAGAUUUAUCGCCCAAGGAUGAGCCCGCGUAAGAUUAGCUAGUUGGUGGGGUAAAGGCCUACCAAGGCGACGAUCUUUAGCUGGUCUGAGAGGAUGAUCAGCCACACUGGGACUGAGACACGGCCCAGACUCCUACGGGAGGCAGCAGUGGGGAAUAUUGGACAAAUGGGCGAAAGCCUGAUCCAGCAAUGCCGCGUGAGUGAUGAAGGCCUUAGGGUUGUAAAAGCUCUUUUACCAGGGAUGAUAAUGACAGUACCUGGAGAAUAAGCUCCGGCUAACUCCGUG